AUGGAUGAGGAUUUGAAGCAUGCACUAAUACACUGUAUACAUGCACAGAGCUUCUGGGAGGAGGCGUGGACAUGGCUUGGUCUCCGUCUUCCACCUCUCCACUCGGUUACAUGGGCUCGAGACAUAACCUGUGAUCCUCAGUUCACUAUCGAUGAACGUGCAAAGAUCACCACUAUUAUGUGGUCUAUUUGGCACUCUAGAAAACGAAUCAAACAUGGUGAUGGAGGAAGAGAUCCCACAGCAACUAUCAGACACAUUAAGGAGGCUAUUUCCCUCCUUCAGUUACCACGCAAGGAAACCCUGGUUCUACCGGGUUAUGGUUGGCGUCCCCUGGAGGAGGGGUCGGUCAAGAUCAAUACAGACGGUGCUUUCCAGAUUGAUGAAGGCCGGGGCGGUGCUGGAGGAGUGGCCCGAUCUUCCUCAGCACUCCUGGGUUCAUGGUGCAAACCAUACACGGGAGUCUCGGAUCCCUUGAUGAUGGAGUGUCUGUCACUACGAGAUGGAGUCCUCUUUGCUCGACUUCGAGGAUUCCAACAUGUGAUCAUGGAAGUCGACUGUUUGGAGCUGAUACACUGCCAAUGGGCAGAAGGCGAUGUCAGGGCGAAACUUGUCGAGCGGUGGGGUGGCCCAGAGGACCUAGAGGAUGAGUCGGCCUUGUGUCCGUGCUUACCGGACUUCCACGGUAUCCACUUCCACGUCAUUUUGGUCGGCGGGGCAGUGGUGGGCAGCGGUGGCUAG
rnacentral:rRNA from 1 species